AUGCUCGUCGUUGCCUGCGCGCUGAACGAGGAGACGAGGCGCGUCGUGGGCAGGGAGGUGCUGGAGGCCCUGGGGAAGGGCGGCGUGCUCGUCAACGUCGGCCGAGGGGCGAACGUGGACGAGGCGGCGCUGGUGGCGGCGCUCAAGGAGGGGCGGAUCGCCGGCGCCGGCCUCGACGUCUUCGAGGACGAGCCGAAGGUGCCGGCGGAGCUCCUGUCCAUGGACAACGUGGUGCUGACCCCUCACGCGGCGGUUCUGACGCAGGAGUCCAGGUCGGACCUGCGCGCGCAGACCAUUGGCAACCUCCAGGCCUUCUUCUCCGGCCGGCCAUUGCUCACUCCCGUGCCCUGCCAUCAAAAACCUAGACAUCUGGAUCUGCAUCUGGAUCUAGUGCACGCGUGCAGUGGUGUGGCCCCGAAGCGGCUCACUGGCAGAUUGAGCCAAGCCGUGGCUGUGGUGCUGGUGGCAGCUGCAGGCGACGGGUGA
rnacentral:rRNA from 1 species